GCUCCGGUGGCCUAGUGGUUAAAGCAUCUGCCUCGGAUGCAGAAAAUCGCAGGUUCGAACCUCGGCCAAGUU